rnacentral:tRNA from 3 species
GCGGGCGUGGUGGAAUGGUAGACACACGGGACUUAAAAUCCCGAGACCCUGGGUCGUGCGGGUUCGAGUCCCGCCGCCCGCACCA